GUGAGGAAUAUUGGUCAAUGGGCGGGAGCCUGAACCAGCCAAGUCGCGUGAAGGAAGAAGGAUCUAUGGUUCGUAAACUUCUUUUGCAGGGGAAUAAAGUGCAGGACGUGUCCUGUUUUGUAUGUACCCUGAGAAUAAGGAUCGGCUAACUCCGUGCCAGCAGCCGCGGUAAUACGGAGGAUCCGAGCGUUAUCCGGAUUUAUUGGGUUUAAAGGGUGCGUAGGUGGUUUGAUAAGUCAGCGGUGGAAGUUUGCAGCUUAACUGUAAAAAUGCCGUUGAAACUGUCGGACUUGAGUGUAAAUGAGGUAGGCGGAAUGCGUGGUGUAGCGGUGAAAUGCAUAGAUAUCACGCAGAACUCCGAUUGCGAAGGCAGCUUACUAAGCUACAACUGACACUGAAGCACGAAAGCGUGGGGAUCAAACAGGAUUAGAAACCCGGGUAGUCC
rnacentral:rRNA from 1 species